CCCUUAGAUGUUCUGGGCUGCACGCGCGCUACACUGAUGCAUCCAACAAGUUUUUUCCUUGUUCGAGAGGACUAGGUAAUCUUAUGAGAAUGCAUCGUGAUGGGGAUAGAUUAUUGCAAUUAUUAAUCUUCAACGAGGAAUUCCUAGUAAGCGCGAGUCAUCAGCUUGCGUCGAUUACGUCCCUGCCCUUUGUACACACCGCCCGUCGCUCCUACCGAUUGGGUGUGCUGGUGAAAUGUUCGGAUCGGCCGUUUGUCGCGGUUUCCGCGUCAUGUGGCUGAGAAGUUCAUUAAACCCUCCCACCUAGAGGAAGGAGAAGUCGUAACA
rnacentral:rRNA from 1 species